UACGUAGGGAGCGAGCGUUGUCCGGAAUUACUGGGUGUAAAGGGAGCGUAGGCGGGAUUGCAAGUUGGAUGUGAAAACUGCGGGCUCAACCCGGAGCGUGCAUUCAAAACUGCGAUUCUUGAGUGAAGUAGAGGCAAGCGGAAUUCCUAGUGUAGCGGUGAAAUGCGUAGAUAUUAGGAGGAACACCAGUGGCGAAGGCGGCUUGCUGGGCUUUUACUGACGCUGAGGCUCGAAAGUGUGGGGAGCAAACAGG
rnacentral:rRNA from 1 species